rnacentral:rRNA from 1 species
AACUCAGCUGAUCGCACGGUCUAGUGCCGGCGACAUAUCUUUCAAGUGUCUACCUUAUCAACUGUCGAUGGUAGUUUAUGUGACUACCAUGGUUGUAACGGGUAACGGAGAAUCAGGGUUUGACUCCGGAGAGGGAGCCUGAGAAACGGCUACCACUUCUAAGGAAGGCAGCAGGCGCGCAAAUUACACAAUCUCAGCACGAGGAUGUAGUGACGAAACAUACCGAGGCGAUGCCCUUUCGGGUGUCGUCAUUGGAAUGAGUCGAAUCUAAAAAAUUCGGCAAGGAUCUAGUGGAGGGCAAGUCUGGU